rnacentral:rRNA from 2 species
CCUACGGGAGGCAGCAGUGGGGAAUAUUGCACAAUGGGCGCAAGCCUGAUGCAGCGACGCCGCGUGAGGGAUGACGGCCUUCGGGUUGUAAACUUCUUUCAGUAGGGAAGAAGCGAAAGUGACGGUACCUGCAGAAGAAGCCCG